UACAGAGGGUGCGAGCGUUAAUCGGAAUUACUGGGCGUAAAGGGCGCGUAGGCGGCCGACCAAGUCGGAGGUGAAAUCCCUCGGCUCAACUGAGGAACUGCCUCCGAUACUGUUCGGCUUGAGUCCCGGAGAGGGUAGUGGAAUUCCGAGUGUAGCGGUGAAAUGCGUAGAGACUCGGAAGAACACCAGUGGCGAAGGCGGCUACCUGGACGGGUACUGACGCUGAAGCGCGAAAGCUAGGGGAGCAAACAGG
rnacentral:rRNA from 1 species